UUGAACGCUGGCGGCAGGCCUAACACAUGCAAGUCGAACGGUAACAGGAAGAAGCUUGCUUCUUUGCUGACGAGUGGCGGACGGGUGAGUAAUGUCUGGGAAACUGCCUGAUGGAGGGGGAUAACUACUGGAAACGGUAGCUAAUACCGCAUAACGUCGCAAGACCAAAGAGGGGGACCUUCGGGCCUCUUGCCAUCGGAUGUGCCCAGAUGGGAUUAGCUAGUAGGUGGGGUAACGGCUCACCUAGGCGACGAUCCCUAGCUGGUCUGAGAGGAUGACCAGCCACACUGGAACUGAGACACGGUCCAGACUCCUACGGGAGGCAGCAGUGGGGAAUAUUGCACAAUGGGCGCAAGCCUGAUGCAGCCAUGCCGCGUGUAUGAAGAAGGCCUUCGGGUUGUAAAGUACUUUCAGCGGGGAGGAAGGGAGUAAAGUUAAUACCUUUGCUCAUUGACGUUACCCGCAGAAGAAGCACCGGCUAACUCCGUGCCAGCAGCCGCGGUAAUACGGAGGGUGCAAGCGUUAAUCGGAAUUACUGGGCGUAAAGCGCACGCAGGCGGUUUGUUAAGUCAGAUGUGAAAUCCCCGGGCUCAACCUGGGAACUGCAUCUGAUACUGGCAAGCUUGAGUCUCGUAGAGGGGGGUAGAAUUCCAGGUGUAGCGGUGAAAUGCGUAGAGAUCUGGAGGAAUACCGGUGGCGAAGGCGGCCCCCUGGACGAAGACUGACGCUCAGGUGCGAAAGCGUGGGGAGCAAACAGGAUUAGAUACCCUGGUAGUCCACGCCGUAAACGAUGUCGACUUGGAGGUUGUGCCCUUGAGGCGUGGCUUCCGGAGCUAACGCGUUAAGUCGACCGCCUGGGGAGUACGGCCGCAAGGUUAAAACUCAAAUGAAUUGACGGGGGCCCGCACAAGCGGUGGAGCAUGUGGUUUAAUUCGAUGCAACGCGAAGAACCUUACCUGGUCUUGACAUCCACGGAAGUUUUCAGAGAUGAGAAUGUGCCUUCGGGAACCGUGAGACAGGUGCUGCAUGGCUGUCGUCAGCUCGUGUUGUGAAAUGUUGGGUUAAGUCCCGCAACGAGCGCAACCCUUAUCCUUUGUUGCCAGCGGUCCGGCCGGGAACUCAAAGGAGACUGCCAGUGAUAAACUGGAGGAAGGUGGGGAUGACGUCAAAUCAUCAUGCCCUUUAUGUCCUGGGCUACACACGUACUACAAUGGCUGUAACAGAGGGAAGCGAACCAGUGAUGGUAAGCGAAACCCGAAAAGCAGUCACAGUUUGGAUUGAAGGCUGAAACUCGCCUUCAUGAAGCCGGAAUUGCUAGUAAUGGCAGGUCAGCAUACUGCCGUGAAUACGUUCCCGGGCCUUGUACACACCGCCCGUCACACCAUGAGAGUUGGGGAUACCCGAAGCCUGUGAGCCAACAGUUAAAUGGGGCAGCAGUCGAAGGUAGAAUCAAUGAUUGGGGUG
rnacentral:rRNA from 1 species